AUUGAACGCUGGCGGCAGGCCUAACACAUGCAAGUCGAACGCGUGGCGGACGGGUGAGUCAUGUCUGAACACCUGCCUGAUGGAGGGGGAUAACUACUGGAAACGAUGGCUAAUAGCGCAUACCAUCAGAUGUGCCCAGAUGGGAUUAGCUUGUUGGUGGGGUAACGGCGCACCAAGGCGACGAUCCCUAGCUGGUCUGAGAGGAUUACCGGCCACACUGGAACUGAGACACGGUCCAGACUCCUACGGGAGGCAGCAGUAGGGAAUAUUGCACAAUGUGCGCAAGCCUGACGCAGCAAUGCCGCGUGUAUGAAGAAGGCCUUCGGUUUGUAAAGUACUUUUAUCGGGGAGGCGUUACCCGCCGAAGAAGCACCGGCUAACUCCGUGCCAGCAGCCGCGGUAAUUC
rnacentral:rRNA from 1 species